UCAUAGCGAGGAAAGAACCAACAGGGAUUGCCCUAGUAACGGCGAGUGAAGCGGCAACAGCUCAAAUUUGAAAUCUGGCUCUUUCAGGGUCCGAGUUGUAAUUUGCAGAGGGCGCUUUGGCGUUGGCAGCGGUCCAAGUUCCUUGGAACAGGACGUCACAGAGGGUGAGAAUCCCGUACGUGGUCGCUGGCCUUCGCCGUGUAAAGCCCCUUCGACGAGUCGAGUUGUUUGGGAAUGCAGCUCUAAAUGGGAGGUAAAUUUCUUCUAAAGCUAAAUACUGGCCAGAGACCGAUAGCGCACAAGUAGAGUGAUCGAAAGAUGAAAAGCACUUUGGAAAGAGAGUCAAAUAGCACGUGAAAUUGUUGAAAGGGAAGCGCUUGCAGCCAGACUUGCCUGUAGUUGCUCAUCCGGGCUUCUGCCCGGUGCACUCUUCUAUAGGCAGGCCAGCAUCAGUUUGGGCGGUUGGAUAAAGGUCUCUGUCAUGUACCUCUCUUCGGGGAGGCCUUAUAGGGGAGACGACAUGCAACCAGCCUGGACUGAGGUCCGCGCAUUUUGCUAGGAUGCUGGCGUAAUGGCUGUAAGCGGCCCGUCUUGAAACACGGACCAAGGAGUCUAACAUCUAUGCGAGUGUUUGGGUGUCAAGCCCGAACGCGUAAUGAAAGUGAACGGAGGUGGGAACCCUUUAGGGCGCACCAUCGACCGAUCCUGAUGUCUUCGGAAGGAUUUGAGUAAGAGCAUGGCUGUUGGGACCCGAAAGAUGGUGAACUAUGCUUGAAUAGGGUGAAGCCAGAGGAAACUCUGGUGGAGGCUCGCAGCGGUUCUGACGUGCAAAUCGAUCGUCAAAUUUGGGCAUAGGGGCGAAAGACUAAUCGAACUAUCUA
rnacentral:rRNA from 1 species